GGAUAUGUAAUAACUCGCCAAGAGUAAAGCAGCGAGUACAGAAGUCGCCAUAGAGAAGGGCGGGAAUUUUCCCCUUCCAGUGGCAAAGUUUGGGCUCCCUUGCUUUCCAGCGGAACGCAGGCACUGGUUUUCCCGACUGCCAUGCCAUAGGGCUGACCGCAGCUUUUCCAACCAAGUGCGCGCUGGGGAAAACUUGCUCUCUCUCUCUCUCGGCGCCACUCUCUCGUCGGCACUCUCUCGUCACCGCUCGGAAACUAAACUUCUGCUGCUGGCGCAGGAAAAUCCAUUUUCCAUUUUCCUACACGCGGACACUGGCUCAAAGUAUCGUGUGCGGCGGACGUCCUUGUCGUGCGUGCCUCGAUUGCUCGCACCGACGGUGUUUUUUGAGUUCAGGGAAUUGAAUUGAGCAACAUGGAAACAUAACUGGCGAGGCGGAAUAACAAGCUAGAAUACCUCGAAACUCUUCAUUUGCGAACUCGAACCGAUAUAGAGUGGUAGUGGUGCAUUUAAAAGGAUGCAUUUGCAUUUGCUUUUUUUUUCAGUGAGGUUUUUCCUAUUUUUUCCAUAAAUUUCUGUGAGAGUGCUGUGCAACGAACGGGAAUACGUAGAAACGAUUUUUUUUAGAAAAUCGCGAGAGUCCCCGAAGAAGAAGGCCAAAGAACAGAAACGCAAAGGAAAGGCGAAAACGAAGGAAAGGCAGCGCAAUAAGCCUUUUUGAAGGUCUCCACCGGCAGCCGGCACCACGACCUUUAAAAACCUGACGCUGAGAACCCGACACUUGGAGGCCAUGAAAGCGUGCUAUGUAUGGAUGGAAGUAAAAGGAGCCCCAAUUAAUGCAAAGAUCAAUUCACCAUCUUGCCGUGGUUGCUAAAGGAAGCUGGCCGAGCAGAGGGCACUCAAGAAGGGCUUCAGCGGCGUCGUUGGGGGCGUCGCUUUUAACGGAAGGAAGAGGGAAGCCAACCCGACCGAAUCAUGAAACAUUCUAAUAUUUCCAUACACAAGGACAUGAUGGAAUUCGGAUAAGUGCAACCGAGAACAACGUACAGAAUUAGAUAUAGGACAUUUUCAACAAAUAAUUCAUUUAGUGGUUAUAAUGCGCGUUAAAGAUCAUGAAGCGAACCGAUAUUGACAGCCACGGAAGAUCGCGUAAAUGAAAGCCAUCUCUUGGGCAACGCAACUCUGAUAUAUAUAGGACACCCACACCAAAAAACCUCUCCCAGCGGAACACCAAGGACCAGGAGGAGGAGAAAGAGGCCGUCGGGCCAGAGACGGCAGCGAAACCGCCGCCGCAGCAGCGGGCACAGCGGUCAUGGAACCACCCGGCGGAGUGCCGCCGGACAGGGAUAGGCAGCUGGUGCUCCGGAAUCAGUCGGCUGCCCUCGUGCCCGUGGUCGUAUCCGCACCCACUGCACCGGGGGCCAUCACGCCCAGCCCGCAGCCACCGGCACCGCAGGCGUCGUCAUCGUCGUCGCUGCUGCCCAGCAAGCCAACUAGUCUGAGUCUUCAGCCGCAUGCCGUGCUCCAGGCCAUGCAACAAUUGUCUCCCUCCGCCGGAGGCAACAACAAUGCCACAGUUGCCACGGCCACCAGCAGCAGCAGCGGGAAUGCCAACAGCGGCAACAGUCCCGCCCUGGCCUCCACCGCCACGGCCAUAUCGGCCACCACCCAGGCAGCCACUGCCUUCAGCGGCAGCUCGGUGGGUCACCACCAUCCGCAGCACCACCACCAGCAUCCGCACCCGCAUGCCCCACCACCACAGCUCCAGCAACCGCAUCCGACGGCCACUGCAGCGAGCACAGCGCCACAAACCCACCAUCACGGCUCCAUAUCCGGCACUGGCUCUGGCGGCGGACUCAUCGGUUCCAGUGGCGGCAGUGGCAACCCGCAGCAGGCCAUCGAGAAGCUAUCGCGACCCAUGGCAUUCGACAAGAUGGAAAUGCUGGUGCGCGAGAUGCAGGAUCAGGAACAUGGCGUGCCCGUGCGGCAGCAGAAAAUGUUCCUCACAUCCAUACCAUACGCGUUUAUGGGAUACGAUUUAAUUGAAUGGCUAAUGGACCGCUUGCAAAUCGAGGAGUCGGAGGCCCUAAACAUUGCUAAUCAGCUGUGUCUGCACGGCUACUUUUUUCCGGUCAACGACUCAAAAACGCUGACCGUGAAGGAUGAUUCGUCGCUGUAUCGGUUCCAAACGCCCUACUAUUGGCCCUGGCAGCACAAGGCGCCCGACAAUGUGGAGUACGCCAUCUAUUUGGCCAAGCGAUCGCUGCGCAACAAGCAGCGCCAUGCACUGGAGGACUACGAGGCCGAGGCCCUGGCCUCGCUGCACAAGAACCUGAAGGGCAAGUGGGACUUCAUCUCGAUGCAGGCCGAGGAGCAGGUGCGACUGGCCAAGGAGCGCAAGAAGGGGGACAAGAUCGUGGGAGACUCGCAGGAGAGAGCUUACUGGAGAGUUCACCGUCCACCGCCUGGCCAGUUCACUCCGUUGGAGCCCUGUCCAGUGCCUUCGCGCGAUCGUCAGGGCCUCAAGCCCAAUAAAAAAAAGACUGUCGAAGACAUGCAGCGCGACGUUGACUAUUUAAGCAAGUCGCUCAAUCGGACGCGUAUGAAGAUGUCGCAGGCCUGCGAGUCGCUCGUUUGCUAUUCGGAGACCUUCACCGAAUACGACUUCUUUCUGCAGCCGGCAUUGCCCUCCAAUCCGUGGGUCACCGAGGAUAUUACAUUCUGGCAGCUGAACAACACCUUUGUCGACAUUCCCACAGAGAAGCGUGUGAAGCGCUGGGCCAUUUCCAUUGAGGAGCUCGUCUCCGAUCCCACGGGCCUGCAGGAGUUCACGGGCUUCCUGGAGAAGGAGUACUCGCACGAGAACAUCCGCUUCUGGAUAGCGGUCAAUCGCUUGCGCCGAUCCGCUCACUCGCAAGUGGCGCGAAAGGUCAACGAAAUCUACGAGGAGUUUUUGAAGCCGGGAGCACCCUGCGAGAUAAACAUUGACGGCAAGACAAUGGAAAGCGUGCUGCGCGGCCUGAAAAAUCCAUCGCGAUUCACCUUUGACUCGGCCUCGGAGCACAUAUACAUGCUGCUGCUGAAGAAGGACUGCUACCCACGAUUCAUCCGAUCCGAGCACUAUAAGCGCCUGCUGGACACGGGCAUCCAGCCGUCGUACAAGAAGCGGUUUUUUAACUUUGGCGGCGUUAGCGGAGCCAAGAAGAAAAUGACAGCCGCCCUGAGCAGCCAGCCGAAUCUGGGGGAUGCGGCCAAAGGAGCCAGCGGCACUUCCAGUGGCAGCUGCUCCAUGAUGCAGGCACCACCGCCCGGCAACCUGUCCCGGCGCCGUGGCAGCGAUCGUAGUCUCACAGGCUCCGCCCACGAGCUGGCCGUCAUCGGGGUGAACAAGGAUGCCGGCUCCAAGGUACCGCACUCUCAUUCCCAGAGUAAUCUCAGCGAAAUUCCCUUCAGUAGCGAUUCAAUUUAUCGAGGCGAUAUGCCCCAGCGCCACAUGGCGGUCAUGGAUGUUGGGAUCUAUGCGGCCUACGGGAAUCGCGAAAGUAGUUUGCAGGCACUUCCAGAAACGCCGAAGACGAAGACCACCGCCCUCGACACCACGGAGUCCACGUCGUCGUCCACAGCUCUGGUGGUGGCAUCGAGCAGCGCCGUCUGCCCGUGGGACGAGCCAGCCGAUCCAGUCCCGCCGCCGGCGACGCAGGUGAAGUUAUCGGUGUGUCCCUGGGAGGUGGACAGUGCCACGGAGCCGGCAGCGGUGGUGGCGGUGGCGACACCUACUCCGGCCGCAGGAAGAUCGUCGAAGAUCUCAUGUUCCGCCGUGCAGCCACAGCGGUUGAAUAGCACUUCCUCGGACAACAGCGACGUAAAUGACCGAAUGCAGCGGAAUUUGGGUAUUCGCCAUCAAAAUACCGUGGACAGUGGUGAAGCAAGCGUAAAGCGUCUGAUUCCGAACUUUCCGGAGCAGCGCCGGGCAUCAGUCUCAUUUACUCCUAGCCGUACCCCGGAUUUCCAGCUAGGACGGACUCCAACGACGACAUCCUCGCCCACCGUGGUCACCAGCAGCCCUGCUCCGCUGCAGGCUCGCAGUGCCGUCUACGGUAGUGGCUGUGCCAUCGCCAAGGAUCCGCCAUCGGGCUCUGAUGUCGAUGCGGAACUGGAGGAGGAGCUCAACAAGUUGUCACUUGGCGGGUCCUCGGCAUCGGAGUUGCCGCUCCUGGUAGUACCCACCCCCACGCAGACCCCGCCGCCCAUAACCAAGAUCACGCCGCCGCCUGGAGAGUGCGAGGAUCGGGCGGCGAUCGGUUCGACAGAGGCCCUGGAUUCCGCCGGGUCAGCACAAGCACAAAUCCAGUCGACAGUGGCCACGGUCAAGGAGGUCCAGAUCGAGCUGAUCGAGCAGGGCAAUGGUGUCCAUACAGAACCAGGAAGUCCGCCCACCAUCAAAGUCCUGGAGCUAGAAGUAAUUACGCUCGUAUCUUCUGAGUCCGCAGCCGAUCCAGGCCAGGAUCAAGCACCGACAACAGCAACCACCACCACCACCGAGGAUCCCGUGUUGGCGGACGAAACGGAGAAGUUCGUCGAGAUGGAACCGCCGAUCCUGGACGAGCUUUCACCCACCACCGACGAGUACCAGGAGGGACUGCAGUUUGGUGGCGAUACCAAGGACGCGGUCGACGACUUUGACAGCAUAGACGUUGGCUACAUACCGCCAGCACCCACCCCGGCUCCCUCUAUGGCGCCCCUGGCCGAACUGGACGUGGACACGGUGGACGAUGAGCCGUGCGAGCCGUGUGAGCCACCACCCAUCCGGGAACCGGUGGUCACCUCGACCUCGGCCACGGCAACGCCCACAUCCAGCAACGAAGAUGCGCGCAAGCGGCGCAAGAAACGAAACUCGGAGAACAAGAAACUUAGCUCGCAGGACGAAAAGGAUAAGGAGGCGCGCGAAAGGGCUGGCGGCAGCAGCAGCUUGGAUGCUGAUCACAAUGCGGUGUGUCCCUGGGAAGACGAAAACGUCAGCACCAACGACGGCACCUUCGUGAAGACAUACGCCACACUGGGAUACUUAUGAAUAAAGCCAAACCUGUUCAAGACGGUGGUCAACAAGUUGCUGAAAAGGAAGCCAUACAAGAAGUAGGGCCUGGGUAGCUAAGUUUAUUUUACGGAGUAUCUAUUAUAAUACGUACAUGCAAACAUAUUAUGUAAAUAAAUGUAUUUAGCUGUCCGCCCAAACAAUCGCAGAAAUCGAGCUAUGCUGUAUAACACUAACAACUUAAAGCCAACAUCGAUGGGAGUGAAUCGUGAUGGCCCGCAUCUUUAUGAUCAAAUUGCAUACUGUUUCAUUCGAACGUGUUAACCUUACAAAAAAAUGAUUAGAAAAUCAAAUUAAGAUGAAAUCCUGGUUGUUCGCGACUAAUACCUUUAUAUGAAUCGAAAGAAGAUAUAACUUAUCGAAGAACUAUUACAAUCUAAGUAUAUUUCUAUUUUCAUUGUGCAUAUGAAUUAGCUACUUACUGUCAAACCCGUUUUGCUGGUAAACAAUCUUUAUAUGGGAUAUCUGAAUUCUCUUUGUGCUUUCUAACAAAAAACAAAAAAAAAACAUUUUUCAACUACUUCAAUUAACAAGCAAAACAAAACUGUAAAACGAUAUGUACCCAAUGUACCAAAGAAGAGAUUUAAAUGCCGAAAACCUAAGCGAAUCCAAGUAAAUGUUGCAUAGAUAUUACGAAACGAGGGGUACAUAUAGAGAAAUAGGGACGAUAUGCCGAGUGUAGGGCGUGCGUACAAAAUAUGUACAUGAAACCACCGUUAACUUUGCUUAAUGCGAGCCGAGCAAUUAAAAAGUUAAAAAAAAAUAUAUAAAAAAAUAAAAUAAAUCAGCAGCAGCAAUAGUUCCAAAUUGUUGUCAAAAUAUAAUAGCAGCUUUUAGAACAACACCAAAGAAGUUGUAGUAAAUGCGGAGGAAAAUUGUAUUGUUGUUGUUUUUUAUGUACAUUUACUUUUUUGUAUUACCGUUGUUGUAAGUCAAAUAUGCCAAAAAAAAAUAGUUUAUUAAGAGUUUACAACAAAAUUUAAAUGCAGGCAAGAUAUGAAUUACUUUAACGCAAAUCGCAAGAAAAAAGUUCCGAAUGUUUUGAGUAGUCAAUGGUAAAUAUCUUUUACUUGCUUAUACUAAGUGUUCCCAUACAUAUUUAUGGGAUCCUUGCCGAAACAGAAAUCUUGAAUAAAUAAAACAAAGCGCGGCUGUCGACUUUACUUUUACCGGUACUCAAACAACUACAAAUCCAAUAAGUUACUGAUUUAAUUAUAUCACAAAUGGUUUAGCUAUUAUUAGAUCGUAUUUAAUUGUUACCUGAUUUUAUGUGUUGAAACUUAGACAAUUAUAAACUAUCCGAGUUAAUAUGUGGCUUAAAAAUUCGAUGGCUAAAAUUUAUGAACGUUUGAUGUGCAUUUACAAAUUUUCUCACCUAUCUCGCACAUUGAAAAAAUUGUCCUAGUGAUUAGAAUUUUGUCAUUCAUAAUAAGUUUGUAAUUUCUAAAAUUGAGACUUUAAUUCCUUUUUAGUACCUUUGCAGAAAUGUUAAUAAUUUAAAACAUAUAUAUUUUUUUUUAUAUUCAUUUAAAUCUAAAAUAAUUUUAGGAAGUUACAAAAUUUGUGCCAUGAAAAAUUUGUUUAUAAUAGAAUUGUUAGUUUCGAAAACCACUUCUUUUUUUAUAUAAAUUAAAUUAGAGUAUUGAAUUUAAAUGCUCCUAAUUUCCAGGAAUAUAUUUUUAAGAUUCAAAAUAUUGUUCAAAAAUGUAAAAAAUAUUUCUGGUUUGCAAAGUGAACUGGGUUUAAUGAUGAUUUUCUAAAACUUAGGGCGAUUUUUGUUUUAAUUGCGUCUUGGAAUGGUUAAUAACAUAAUUUUAGCCGACAGUGACUGGAAUUCUAAACCAAGAACAUUGAAUGUGUAUUUAGUUGAAUAAUAUUUGCUUCUUUGAGUACCGGGUAAACAUAGAACUAUACAUAAAGGGUCCGAUGGAAUGAUUGAGCCGCCACAGCGCCAUUUUGAUAAUAAACAAAUAAUUCGAUAACUAACGUUUAAUAAAUUACAUAAGUACGUACUACUUCACGCGACAGGUGGGUGGCAUUUGCCCUACAAAUAUUUACUUUAAUUUCUGGAUAAUUAGUGCUCAUAUCACUGAUUAGAGAACAGGAAUGCGCAAAACAAUAUGCUUAAUACAUAAGAUUCCAGAGCUUUUAGUAACGCCAUGUAAAUUCUGGGUCAUGAAUACAGUUGUGAAGAGUGUAACCGAGGCGUUUGUUAUUAUGUAUUCAAGUCAUUUACUAUAAGUGUAUACAGCUUAUACUAUUACAAAAGUGUUAAAAACAUGAAUUAUUUUGAGAAAACCAAAAAAAAAGAAUAUACAACAAAAAUGUUAGUCGGUAAAAAAAUCAAAUGUAAAACAAUUUAAUGUAGACUGUACCAAAAAUUCAAGGAAAAUUGAAUAUCAACACUCCAUCACGCAAAUAACUAAAAGGAAAUUCGCAAAUUGAAUAGAUGUUGAUGGGAAAAUUAUUUGCACAGUGCAGAAAAACGUGUUAUAAAAUUAUUAUACUAUACAAAAAAUAUAUAUUAUUGAAUUAUGCUGAUGAAAUUAAAAACCAUAAAAGUAUGUAAA